rnacentral:rRNA from 1 species
GUGGGGAAUUUUGGACAAUGGGCGCAAGCCUGAUCCAGCAAUGCCGCGUGCAGGAAGAAGGCCUUCGGGUUGUAAACUGCUUUUGUACGGAACGAAACGGUCCGGGUUAAUACCCUGGGCUAAUGACGGUACCGUAAGAAUAAGCACCGGCUAACUACGUGCCAGCAGCCGCGGUAAUACGUAGGGUGCAAGCGUUAAUCGGAAUUACUGGGCGUAAAGCGUGCGCAGACGGUUUUGUAAGACAGGCGUGAAAUCCCCGGGCUCAACCUGGGAAUUGCGCUUGUGACUGCAAGGCUGGAGUGCGGCAGAGGGGGAUGGAAUUCCGCGUGUAGCAGUGAAAUGCGUAGAUAUGCGGAGGAACACCGAUGGCGAAGGCAAUCCCCUGGGCCUGCACUGACGCUCAUGCACGAAAGCGUGGGGAGCAAACAGGAUUAGAAACCCUGGUAGUCC